AUGGCGAACCCAACUCAACGGGAGAAAUCGCCAGAACGAGGCACCGUGACAGUUGUGCUAACCAAAGAAAUCCCAGUAAACGCAAAUAUUAAGACAGUUGUGGUGCCACAGAUCCGCCCAUCAUAUCUCCAAGUCCUGGUUUCAGAAGAUGCGACCCAAAUUAUGUUCCUGACUCCCCACGGGAAAGUCACAUCCCUACAAAGAAAAGUGACGCAAGCAUUUCCGGAGACCUAUAUGCCUAUUAUCAACAAAAUGAUCAAUCACGCGAACGAUGGGGAGAUCUGGACUGAUGAUAGUAGAUUCUACGUUUUCCAGUCAAAACCCGAUCGAAAAAAACUCAAGGAGAAUGUGGAGCAGAUUAUAACGUUCCUGUCCGUAUCUAAUAAAAUGUGCAUGUCCAAACAUUUGUACUAUUUAUCAAAUGGCGACCCGAGCUGGGAUCCGGCAAGUCUCAUCGGUGCAGUGAAAGACGAUUGGCGUAUCACGCAGUUCAUUUGUGCAACCAAAAAGUUUCUUCCAGUUCCGGAAGACCCGUCGAAAGAAACAGAAUCAGGAGGAGCGCCUCGCGACGUGAAGGCCCAAAGCAGGGGCGAAAGAUCGAUUCAAAAACGGUACGACCUAAAAAAGUCCUUCUUCAAGCUCGACACACACUUGAUUACACUUGAAUUAGAGGCCGAAAGGAUCAAGCAAGAAUACCUCGCCGAAAAGCUCAAAACCCGCCGGCAUUAUCAUACCAAAAAGGGAACCUCUCAAGACCCUAAGGCAAUCGAGGUGCCAACAGAUAUCCCGCCGAAGACAAGAGGCAGAAGCACUCAAGCCCCUAAGGUAAUCGAGGUGCCAACAGAUAUCCCGCCGAAGACAAGAGGCAGAAGCAGGCGUCCGACCCCACGCCUCUCCAUUCAUGAGCUCUGCGAGAAUCCCGUAGCGGGGAGCUCCACCACCGACGUGUCAGUUCCCGCCAGCAA
rnacentral:lncRNA from 1 species